AUUGCUUCUCUGACUUGUGGCUUAGAUCAAGUGUAGUAUCUGUUCUUUCAGUUUAAUAGUAGGGGACUACAACACCUCCCUGACAUCAAUGGAUAGAUCAUCCAGAGAAAAUGUUUAAGGAAAUAGUGGCUUUGAGUGAUACAUU
rnacentral:snRNA from 1 species